AUGAGGACUCGCUGCAUGUUCCUCCUAGUCCUUGCUGUCACUCUCGUGGUUCUGUCCCGAGAUGUGGCCGUGAAAGUGACGGCGGGUAAUUGCAGACCAAUAAUCGACAAGGGUGACUGUAACUUGGAUGUAUGCAAAUCGCGUUGCAACGAAUGGAACGGGCACAGUGUCAGUCAUGUUGCUAGUUGUGUUCCCGACGGAUGCCAAUGUUAUGUUUGUUUCUAA
rnacentral:rRNA from 1 species